rnacentral:sRNA from 1 species
GUUCUUCUUGGCAUUAGCAGUAGUGACUGGGUUUGGUGGCUGUAUGUAUAUGGGAUGGAUCCCCAGGUGGGGCGGUCUCUGGAUGGCCUUUCUCCAGUCUCUGCUCCACUCUUUAUCCCCGCAUUUCCUUUGAAUGGGAGCAAUUCUGAGAAAAUAUUGUUGAAUGGGUGAGUGACCCCCAUCCCUCAACUGGGGGCUGUUCCUAACUCUGGAUAUUGUCUCUACAGGUUCUCUCUCCCUUUGUUGGGUAUUUCAACUAAUGUCAUCUGUGUUGGAUCUUGGGAGCCUCUUGGGUUCCUGGCCUCUGGGACUUUCUAUACUAGGUUUCUUAAAGAAGCUCCUAUUCUGAGAGUCUUUGCAUCCCAACAUGAAGGAAUAUGAGCCUCUUUGUGGAUAGUUGUUCCCUGUGUGUUCUACAUUAGUAGAAGAGCAACCUCUUCGCUUUCCAGCAAGGCAGUAGAGCAGAGUGGUGGUGGAGACUUUCGAGGUGAGUCUUUCACAUGAUGACACUGCAGGAGACAUUUCAGUGCCCUUUGUUCACACAGCAAGUGGCUUCAUAUGAGUCAGUAGUAACAUGGACAGACUCCAUUGCAUAAACAGCUUCAUGAAAAGAUCCACAUUUUAAAAAGAGGAGGGAAUUCAUGUUCCUGACAUUUCUUAUUUAAUAUAAGCACCUUAAUUCCCAUUUCCAGUUAAAAUGCUAAUUUUGAUAGCUUUCAUUAGAACUGAAAAUAUGCAAAUAUAAAAACGAAAUAGUGUAUGUGUAUAUGUAUCUCAGAACCACUAGGAAAAGGAAAACAGGUUGAAAUUUUGCAAUAAUUUGGAGCUUCCAACUCUGAGUUUUCAAUGUAUUUUAAUUGAGGAUCUAUGCAUUUUAAAGCAGAUUUUCAAGGAGAGUCUGCUGAACACUGAAUGGUCCACUAUGAAUCAUGUUUGUGGUUUAUUUUCUUGAUGGUGUCUGUGGCCUUGGAGAGUAGCAUCCUUAAUGAAUAGGAGCACUCUACGUUUUAUACUCAUUGCUCUGUAAAUAUUAAGAGGUAUUUGAAAAACAGUCUUCCUCACCUUUGUAGUUUAUGACAGAUGAGAAUUUUAUUGACCAUGCCUUUUAGAAAAGGAAAUGAGAGGUAAAAGAAAGUAAAUGGCUUGCCUUUAUGCUAAAGAAUAAAACAAGGCAUCAAUUAGUAGAGAUUUUUCUUGAAUCCUCAUUUACUUUUGAAAUCAUUUUACUUUCAAGAAACAAAAACAAUCAUUUUUUUCUUCCUUGGAUAGAAUUUUAUUUCUAUGCAAAAUAUUUGACUUUAGAGUAUGGACAUAGAACUAAGAAUAGUUCACUUGAAUUUUGUGUUUAUUAUUUACUGUUACUUUAUAUUUUAUUCAUUAGAUGCUUAUCAUUUAAGUAUGUAAGCUUGUAGGAUAACAACCUUUAAGAAAUAGGAGAAAUGGAAACUCACCAGGAAAAAUAGUCAGUGAAUAUUGAAUCAUAAAAUGCAUUUCACAACAUGUAAUAAAUGUGGCUGAAAACUUGACCUUAGUUUUCUUAGUAGUUAACAGAGAACAUUCAAGAAACAUUUUACCUCUAGCACUGAAGGAUUUUCCUGUGUAUCCUACCAUGAAAUGAGAUUGCCUACAUAUUCGACUAUAGACUUCCAAAAUGGUGUGUUUAAUUCAUAGUUAAGAUACAGAGCAAAGAUUGUUAAAUCAACUUUGGAAAUAAGCAAUAUUUUAAUCAAACUGGAAAACCAAUUGACCUUGGUGUCAAUAGAUUUUGGUGGCAUAAGAUGAUCUCCUGGUUGUGGCAUGGACACCUAAAGACAAAAUGAAAGUGCAUUUAUUAUUAUUAUUUUUGCUUGUUGUUACUGCAUUGUUGUGGAACCAACCAUCCUUACUUGGUUUGAGAUGAUGUUGAAAAAUUUUAUCGUUAUAAAUUAUCACACUGACCAACUAGGUCAGUGGGGGAAUUUCAAGUAAAUAUUCAAUAUAAGCUGAACAAAUUGAGUUAUUCUGUGGAACAUAUUGGAGAAUGUCUAACAGUAUUGUUAGACUAUCUGGGAGAGCAUCCAAGGGAUGUAUUUAUGCCUUGGCACCUUUUCCCCCCUCAUGAACAGAGUGUGAACAUAGUUGCUCUCUCCAGAUGUUAAAACCAUAGUGACAAUAAUUGUUGAGUGGCAGUUAUAUGCCACAAUAUGGAAUUGUUGCAGUCAUAUUAAAAUGGCACUUUCUUGAUUUCUAGUAAAAAUUAAAAAAAAAAAGCCACAAAGGCCCAGGACAAAUGACUGUAACUCAUGGUGUAUUAAGGAAAGACAUCAAGACAUCUAAACAGUACUGUUAAUGGUAUAUAUAAGAGGGAACCACAUGGCUCUUCUGAAGGGAUAGAUAAAGAUUUCCAGGAAGAUCUGAUACCUGAAGGGUGUGGAGGAACUGCUAGAAUCAGACCUGGAAGAAGAAAGUACUCCUUGCAGAUAAUCUUUUGUGAGUAUAAGCGUGUGUUUGUCUCCUGGUCUCCACCUGUCCCUAAUUUCAUUCUUGUCUGCCAGAGAAGUUUCUAUAAGAAGCCAUUUCAUGUAUCCCUUCUCCUGCACACCCUCAGACAUUGCUAAUUGAUCCACGCCUCUGUCCUGUCUGUCUCUAUGGCUGCUUGUGGGAUUUGCAAAAUGCUCGCAGAUUAUGGACAUUGGUUUUCUCAUCAGUGCCUUGGAAGACUUGUGGAUCUUUCCAUUAGUUCCGUGUCUUCCCAACUUGGUGUGGAUAUGUUUAGAUUAUAGGGACAAUUCUUUGUUUCUACUCCCCUGAUGGCCAUUGGAGCCAGCCAUCUAACACCCCAAAAUCCAGACAAGCUGAGCAUAGUGUCCAAUUCUCUGCUAAACCAGGGACUGGAGGCACAGGGUUGGAAGGCACCAGGGGAGGCAGCAACUGUGAGCAAUUUUGUUUACUAGAAAUGUGACAGAUAUAUAAGAAAUCAUAGACUUGAAAGGCAGUCUUGCUUCAUCCUAUGGAGAUAUUUAACAGAAUGGGAAAAUUGCAUUUGAUUUGAUAAGAGAUGGAUUUUUUUGAGAGAGGUUUUUCCUGCAGGGUUUAAUGUUUGUAUUAAUCUCUUUCUCUCCUUCUACCCCACCCCCUUUUCUUGGUUAUAGGAGAAUAAGGAGAAAAGACUCCUGGUAUUUGGUCAGAUAAGUCUCUCUCCUUGUCUUCUCUCUUUCUACAGGGCAUAUACACAUAUGUCUCUACAAGUGUUUCACUGUUAUAGGAAAAAUAUUGUGGGGGUGCCAUUGUAUUACCUUCCCAUGGUGUUAAUCCUAACCAUAACAUUAGCCCUAAGCCUAACCCUAUCCAUUCUAGGUAUGUGAGAAGGGCUUCUUGAAGAAGAAGACAGAGAAUGGAUUCCCUCAGUCCUCUUUGGAAUACUGUGUUUAUAUAGGACUCAAACAUCUUUCACAGGGGGAAGCAUUACUUUUGACAAAGAAAAUAGACAACGCCAUUAAAAUUGGGAGCCUGACUGAGCCCCUUGGAAGUCUUUCCUUUGAACUGGCAGAGGCUAGAUGGAAGCUAAAACAAAUCUUCAACAACCUACACUUCAGCCUCAAGUCUACUUUUCUAUGUGGAGUCUUCAGUACAGGAAAAUUGCUUUGCUAACGGCCUCAUCUGGGAAUAUCCUCCACCAGAAUCCUAGGGAAGGUGAUGGUGGAUUCCUUCUCCUGAUAUAUCCCGUGGUGACUGCGCACCAUCAAACCACUGAAAAAUGAAACGAACAAACUGGAGUACCCGGCACUCUCACGCUAACGAAGAAACAAAGGCUGAAGAAUCACUAGCAACCCUUUGCUUCUCUCCUGUCCUUUGAGUGCAGAAGCCAGGGAAGUGGCGAACAGUGGGCAGCCCACUGGAUCGCCAGGAGCGCAGUUCUCCCUACCACCUUUGCUAAUACACCAGCAUGAAGGAAGGGGUUGCUUUAAACACUCUUCUUCUCCCUUCUUUAUCUUUGUAGAAAAUGCAACCGUGCAGGGAAACCUUGGCCGAAUGCCACCGCGUCCUGGCUGAAGCAGCAACACAAUUAUGGAAAGAUAAAACCCACAAUGGCCCGUGUGUCCCAGCAGCUAAUAGGAAGGAGGUGUUGAGAAGCAGGUGCAC